GCUGUUUACUACUGUUUUUUUUUCUUAAAGUGUAGGUCAUACUCAACCUCACCCAAGAACUUUUUAUCCACAGAGGCAAACUGAAAAAUAGGCUGUGGACCAGGGACCUCCAAAAAAGCAGUACCUAUGCAAAGGACAAGGUGCUGGAAGUGUCAUUUGCCCCCUACUUGUACACUAAAAUGCCUGAAAAUAUUACGCUUUUAUGUUCUCAGCGCAAAAUUUUGCAGUGUACUAAAAACUAAAAACAUAAGUCACUUUGAUUCAGAGCAUGGGGACAGAAUGAAAGACAACAUUAUUCUUCCAAAAAGUCAAGCGCAGAAGCUGUGAAAGCCUAUAUAUUCACAUCAAAUGGCUUAUAAUUUGUGCAUUUAUAUACUGAGCUGGGACAAUGAC
rnacentral:lncRNA from 1 species